UACGUAGGAUGCAAGCGUUGUCCGGAUUUACUGGGCGUAAAGCGCGCGCAGGCGGCAUGGCAAGUAAGGUGUGAAAUCCAUCUGCUCAACGGGUGGGGUGCACUUUAGACUGCCAAGCUAGAGGUCGGUAGAGGGGGGUGGAAUUGCUGGUGUAGCGGUGAAAUGCGUAGAGAUCCGGAGGAACACCAGUGGUGCAAACGGCGCCCUGGGUCCGAACUGACGCUGAAGCACGAAAGCGUGGGGAGCGAACGGG
rnacentral:rRNA from 1 species